UGCUGCUGUUGCUAAGUCUGGU
rnacentral:miRNA from 1 species